GCAGUGGUGAUUCAGUGGUAGAAUUCUCUCCUUCCAUACAGGAGACAUGGGUUCAAUUCCUGGCUAUUGCA
rnacentral:tRNA from 1 species